rnacentral:ncRNA from 1 species
AGACAGUCGAUGAUCGGGAGAUUAGUGAAGGGCCCCUGAUGCCCAGCGAGCCGGGAUGGUGGAAGCCGGCGGCAGACCUUCAUGAAGCGCACCCGGGAGACGGACUUCCGAAACGAUCCUCUUAGUAGGAAGCCCCGGUACAGGUCCGUUAUCCUAUAAGCGGUCAGGGCCAUCCGGUCUUGGCAAGUAGAGUGGUACCGCGAGAACACAAGUCCUCGUCUCUUUU